UGGGGAAUUUUGGACAAUGGGCGCAAGCCUGAUCCAGCCAUGCCGCGUGCGGGAAGAAGGCCUUCGGGUUGUAAACCGCUUUUGUCGGGGAAGAAACGCUCUGGGCUAAUACCCUGGGGUAAUGACGGUACCCGAAGAAUAAGCACCGGCUAACUACGUGCCAGCAGCCGCGGUAAUACGAAGGGUGCAAGCGUUACUCGGAAUUACUGGGCGUAAAGCGUGCGUAGGUGGUUCGUUAAGUCUGAUGUGAAAGCCCUGGGCUCAACCUGGGAAUGGCAUUGGAUACUGGCGAUCUAGAGUGCGGUAGAGGGCAGUGGAAUUCCCGGUGUAGCAGUGAAAUGCGUAGAGAUCGGGAGGAACAUCUGUGGCGAAGGCGACUGCCUGGACCAGCACUGACACUGAGGCACGAAAGCGUGGGGAGCAAA
rnacentral:rRNA from 1 species